UUGGCCCUGAAAUCAAGACCAGUGGUUUGCUGUAGCUGUUGGUUUCAAACAGGAGCCAAGAGUAAUGUUGUUUUUUUUUUUUAAGAUUUUAUUUAUUUAUUUGACAGAAACACAG